UCCAUCUUGCAUUCCUAAAGUUUACAGAAUGCCCCACAAGCCCUCUUGAAGUACACUGUCAUAGGCUCCCUUGAUGUCCAAAAAAGCCAGCCAUAGGGGUCUGUGUUCCUUUUCAGCGCUGUGCUCGCCAGCAGGGCGAGCACAGCGCGUACCAGCGCACGCUAGCGGCAAAAAGCGGCCAUAUUGAAUAUUGCUCUUAAAAAAAAAAAAAAAACUGCGUUUCCGCUUUUGUGUUAAGCAUUGCCAUCUGGCGUCCCCCCCGCUAAGUUCCAUGCGCUGCCGCUGCUUAUUUUCGUACCACUGCGGAAGGUACAGUUUCCCUUCUCUAAAGUUAGUCUUUGUGAGGCACUGGAACACAAAAUGGCAGCGCAUACAGGUCAAACAAUAUUUUGCCUCUUGCGGUCCCAGUCCGCGAAUGUACGCGGUGCAGCUUACAUCGGGAAGCGUUUCAUGGCAUCGGCGGGUCAAGGCCCGAAAAAUACUCAGGACACAAAAAAACAGCCUCCAUCAGCAGGUUCGAAAAGAUCGUCUGCUCCGCCUGUGCAGCCGGAAGCGAAUGUCAGCGGAGCGACUGAAGGUUACAAGGUUAAAGAAUACUUCGAGCACAAUCCGUACAGCUUCUACGAUAUCCACGCCGACAUGUCCAAGCUCCGGAUGCCACAGCCAUCCAGUAGGAAAUAAAGAUUCACCACUGAGCAUGGGCACUGUAGACAGUCUGGAACCACAACUAAUGCAUAGAAAUAAAACACCUUUAUUGCUCUUCAAA